rnacentral:ncRNA from 2 species
GGCGUAACUGGAUGCGACGGUUCCCCAAGGAAGACUCCGCGGGGAUUAAUAGGGAACACGGUGAGGACGACCCAAAAGGGACCUAGACCGUGGCUGCCCCCGCAACUGUGAGCGGAUUGCCGAUCAUCCAGGAGUGACCAGCCCGCUGUUCACCUCUGAAGGCUUCAAGGCCAUGCCACUGCGAACAUGCAUCGCGGGAAGGCAGAUGAUCGUCAGAUAUCCGCAAGCCAGGAGACCUGCCGUCGAUCACGAUCCAAU